AGCAGCCGCGGUAAUUCCAGCUCCAAUAGCGUAUAUUAAAGUUGUUGCAGUUAAAAAGCUCGUAGUUGAACUUCGGGGUUCACCCAUUGGUCAGGCUUAAUUGUCUGCACUGAUGAGAUGAAUCUCUACCUUCUGAGGAACUUUCAUGCCAUUUAUUUGGUGUGAUGGGAAAUCAGGACUGUUACUUUGAAAAAUUGAGUGUUUAAAGCAGGCUAACGUCUGAAUACAUUAGCAUGGAAUAAUGAAAUAGGACGGACUGAUUCUAUUUCGUUGGUUUCUAGGAUCACCGUAAUGAUUAAUAGGGAUAGUUGGGGGCAUUAGUAUUCAAUUGUCAGAGGUGAAAUUCUUGGAUUUA
rnacentral:misc_RNA from 1 species